CCUUUGUCUCCCUAUCCUGUUCUUUUCUUGAUUUAAUCCAUUUCUUUUGGCUCUUCAUGAAAGGGAAAGGUGUAGCAGCGUCUCUGUAAUUUUUAAAAUUCUUUUUAAAAUUACCAAUAAUCUUGUUUUAUGCCAAGCAUAAUUAAUGAUCCGUUUUGUGAUACAAGAAAAUUGUGGCUGAAAUGGAGAACAAGUCCAUUAAAGACUCGGUCCUAAUUGGUGGUUGAACUUAAGAUAUGAAUGAGGUAUACUCUCCAGUCCAGGUCCACGAUAUUAUGAAACAAGCAAUUUCGUGGGAGAGUGAGAGAACAAC